rnacentral:rRNA from 1 species
CCUACGGGAGGCAGCAGUGAGGAAUAUUGGACAAUGGCCGGAAGGCUGAUCCAGCCAUGCCGCGUGCGGGAGGACGGCCCUAUGGGUUGUAAACCGCUUUUGCGGGGGAGCAAUAAGUGUUACGUGUAACACGAUGAGAGUACCCUGCGAAUAAGCAUCGGCUAACUCCGUGCCAGCAGCCGCGGUAAU